AGUACGCACGCAAGUGUGAAACUCAAAGGAAUUGACGGGGGCCCGCACAAGCGGUGGAGUAUGUGGUUUAAUUCGAUGCAACGCGAAGAACCUUACCAGGGUUUGACAUCCUGCGAAUCUCUUGGAAACGAGAGAGUGCCUUCGGGAACGCAGUGACAGGUGGUGCAUGGCUGUCGUCAGCUCGUGUCGUGAGAUGUUGGGUUAAGUCCCGCAACGAGCGCAACCCACGUCUUUAGUUGCCAGCAUUUAGUUGGGCACUCUAGAGAGACCGCCGGUGAUAAACCGGAGGAAGGUGUGGAUGACGUCAAGUCAUCAUGCCCCUUACAUCCUGGGCUACACACGUACUACAAUGCUACGGACAAAGGGCAGCAAGUUCGCGAGGACAAGCAAAUCCCAUAAACCGUGGCUCAGUUCAGAUCGUAGGCUGCAACUCGCCUACGUGAAGGAGGAAUCGCUAGUAAUCGCAGGUCAGCAUACUGCGGUGAAUACGUUCCCGGGCCUUGUACACACCGCCCGUCACACCAUGGAAGUUGGCCACGCCCGAAGCCGUUACUCCAACCCUUGUGGAGGAGGACGUCGAAGGUGGGGCUGAUGACUGGGGUGAAGUCGUAACAAGGUAACC
rnacentral:rRNA from 1 species